rnacentral:rRNA from 1 species
GACGAACGCUGGCGGCGUGCCUAAUACAUGCAAGUAGAACGCUGAAGCUUGGUGCUUGCACCGAGCGGAUGAGUUGCGAACGGGUGAGUAACGCGUAGGUAACCUGCCUGGUAGCGGGGGAUAACUAUUGGAAACGAUAGCUAAUACCGCAUAAGAGUAGAUGUUGCAUGACAUUUGCUUAAAAGGUGCAAUUGCAUCACUACCAGAUGGACCUGCGUUGUAUUAGCUAGUUGGUGAGGUAACGGCUCACCAAGGCAACGAUACAUAGCCGACCUGAGAGGGUGAUCGGCCACACUGGGACUGAGACACGGCCCAGACUCCUACGGGAGGCAGCAGUAGGGAAUCUUCGGCAAUGGACGGAAGUCUGACCGAGCAACGCCGCGUGAGUGAAGAAGGUUUUCGGAUCGUAAAGCUCUGUUGUAAGAGAAGAACGAGUGUGAGAGUGGAAAGUUCACACUGUAACGGUAUCUUACCAGAAAGGGACGGCUAACUACGUG